ACGGCAUGAUGGGGACAUUUUUUGAUGAGAUCCCUUAAUCUUUCCCAUGAUUCAUGGAACUGCUCACUAUCGUACUGUGAAAAGCUAGUGAGAGCUCGCCUU
rnacentral:snoRNA from 1 species